rnacentral:lncRNA from 1 species
GGCGAUUGUCACGUGGUAUGCCGUAAUGUGUUUCGACAGCAGUACGCGGAAUGUGCAUCCGUGUCCGCGUGGCGGGGCCUCCUGGUAUUCCUUGGACGUGCAUCGCAGGGAGUAAGGCGGGUGAAUGCUUUCAAGUCACAACAAGAGGGCUUCAGUUUUCUAAAGGCGUUGAGUUGCGACUACCCCGAUGCCGUCGGAUGGCGGGCGAAGGCGUAGGAUGGGGUCGUUUAAAUCCAGGCCAGUAGGUUGAACACUUUUCCGACCUCGCGGUAGAGGCGAGAGGAAGGGACGCAAUACAUGACACUGACGCUGCACGGUAGAGCUGCAGCAUAUUGGGCAUAUCGUGGACGGGUGGGGCUUGCCACGUCAACCGCUGUAGUACACGUGUUCUGGGCGCGGAAUGUUCCCCCGCCCGGGAACCGUUUACGUGGGCGGCAAGUCAGUUGUUGGAGCCGGGCAGAAGGCAUGCCAGACAAUUCGUAUCUGGCCAUUCGAUCAGCCGGUUUGUGUCGCUUUGCGGAUGGUGGAAAGAGACUGACAGUUCGAGUUGUUUGAUCCGGGACACGAUUAGCUGGAUGGCGACGAGACGGAUACGAAGCGCAAGUAUGUGCGGAUGAGGACCCGAUGUGGCGGACGCAUCAGUCAAGCACCCCGUAAAUAGGCGAUUGUCACGUGGUAUGCCGUAAUGUGUUUCGGCAGCAGUACGCGGAAUGUGCAUCCGAGUCCGCGUGGGGGGGGCCUCCUGGUAUUCCUUGGACGUGCAUCGCAGGGAGUAAGGCGGGUGAAUGCUUUCAAGUCACAACAAGAGGGCUUCAGUUUUCUAAAGGCGUUGAGUUGCGACUACCCCGAUGCCGUUGGAUGGCGGGCGAAGGCGUAGGAUGGGGUCGUUUAAAUCCAGGCCAGUAGGUUGAACAUUUUUCCGAUCUCGCGGUGGAGGCCAGAGGGAGGGACGCUAUACGUGGCGCUGCCGUUGCACGGUGGAAUGACGGCAUAUGAGGGACGUCCUGGACUGGAGGGGACACACUCAACCGCUCGAGUGCACUCGACUCGGGGCAUGACGUGGUGUGGCACCGCUCGUUCUCCAGCUCCCGGCAGUAGGCGCAGGCGGCGCGAAUGUGUUGCAUGCAGCCAAACACGAGUGCCAGGCAGCUCAUGAGGCACCCCCCGAUCAGGCGCAUUGUGCGCCCUUGCGGGUUUGGUAAACAGAGUCACGGGUUGAACCAGUUUCUGUUCGAGUACGGUACCCAAUAGAAUUGGACGGGAUGGGGGGAUGUUAUAGCGCGUUGUGCAGAAGACGUCUUCGGAGUGCACGUACCGCGUUUCGUUGAGCGUCGCGGCCGUCUGGUUUUGUGGGUUUGGGUGUACCGUCGUCCCUCACCGACUGGGCUGUUGAUUCUACAGUUUGCGAUGUAGUGGUGGUUUGUGGGUGGUACGGAGUAAAAGUGCC